rnacentral:rRNA from 1 species
GAUGAACGCUGGCGGCGUGCCUAAUACAUGCAAGUCGAGCGAACGGACGAGAAGCUUGCUUCUCUGAUGUUAGCGGCGGACGGGUGAGUAACACGUGGAUAACCUACCUAUAAGACUGGGAUAACUUCGGGAAACCGGAGCUAAUACCGGAUAAUAUUUUGAACCGCAUGGUUCAAAAGUGAAAGACGGUCUUGCUGUCACUUAUAGAUGGAUACGCGCUGCAUUAGCUAGUUGGUAAGGUAACGGCUUACCAAGGCAACGAUGCAUAGCCGACCUGAGAGGGGGAUCGGCCACACUGGAACUGAGACACGGUCCAGACUCCUAAGGGAGGCAGCAGUAGGGAAUCUUCCGCAAUGGGCGAAAGCCUGACGGAGCAACGCCGCGUGAGUGAUGAAGGUCUUCGGAUCGUAAAACUCUGUUAUUAGGGAAGAACAUAUGUGUAAGUAACUGUGCACAUCUUGACGGUACCUAAUCAGAAAGCCACGGCUAACUACGUG